rnacentral:rRNA from 1 species
UACGUAGGGUGCGAGCGUUGUCCGGAAUUAUUGGGCGUAAAGAGCUCGUAGGCGGCCUGUCGCGUCGGUUGUGAAAGCCCGGGGCUUAACCCCGGGUCUGCAGUCGAUACGGGCAGGCUAGAGUUCGGUAGGGGAGAUCGGAAUUCCUGGUGUAGCGGUGAAAUGCGCAGAUAUCAGGAGGAACACCGGUGGCGAAGGCGGCUCUCUGGACCACUACUGACGCUGAGGCGCGAAAGCCGGGGGAGCAAACAGG